GACGAACGCUGGCGGCGUGCUUAACCCAUGCAAGUCGAACGGAAAGGCCCUGCUUUUGUGGGGUGCUCGAGUGGCGAACGGGUGAGUAACACGUGAGUAACCUGCCCUUGACUUUGGGAUAACUUCAGGAAACUGGGGCUAAUACCGGAAAGGAGCUCCUGCUGCAUGGUGGGGGUUGGAAAGUUUCGGCGGUUGGGGAUGGACUCGCGGCUUAUCAGCUUGUUGGUGGGGUAGUGGCUUACCAAGGCUUUGACGGGUAGCCGGCCUGAGAGGGUGACCGGCCACAUUGGGACUGAGAUACGGCCCAGACUCCUACGGGAGGCAGCAGUGGGGAAUAUUGCACAAUGGGCGGAAGCCUGAUGCAGCAACGCCGCGUGCGGGAUGACGGCCUUCGGGUUGUAAACCGCUUUCGCCUGUGACGAAGCGUGAGUGACGGUAAUGGGUAAAGAAGCACCGGCUAACUACGUG
rnacentral:rRNA from 1 species